rnacentral:rRNA from 1 species
CUGAUGCAGCCCGCCGCGUGCGGGAAGAAGGCCCUAGGGUUGUAAACCGCUUUCAGCAGGGAAGAAAAUGACGGUACCUGCAGAAGAAGGUGCGGCCAACUACGUGCCAGCAGCCGCGGUGACACGUAGGCACCAAGCGUUGUCCGGAUUUAUUGGGCGUAAAGAGCUCGUAGGCGGUUUGUAAGUCGGGUGUGAAAACUCUGGGCUUCAACCUCAGAGCGCCACCCUAUACUGCUAUGCUUGAUUACGGAGAGGGAGGGGGAAUUUCCUGGGGUAAGGUGAAAUUGCUAAAAUUUCAGGAAGAAACCCCGUGGGCAAAGGCGCUCCUUGGGUCCGAACUGACCCUUAAGUGCCAAAACUGGGGAGCAAACAGGAUAGAAUCCCUGGGUAUCCACCCCCUAAAACGAUGGGGCCCUAGGUGUGGGUUGUUUACAACUUGAUGGCCGCCUUAACUAAUUAAUUUUCUGCCCCGCCUGGGGAGUACGGUCGAUUAAAACUCACUCGAAUGAAAUUGGACGGAAG